GCAGUAAGGAAUAUUGGUCAAUGGAGGCAACUCUGAACCAGCCAUGCCGCGUGCAGGAAGACAGCCCUCUGGGUCGUAAACUGCUUUUAUUCGGGAAUAAACCUUUCUACGUGUAGAGAGCUGAAUGUACCGAAGGAAUAAGGAUCGGCUAACUCCGUGCCAGCAGCCGCGGUAAUACGGAGGAUCCAAGCGUUAUCCGGAUUUAUUGGGUUUAAAGGGUGCGUAGGCGGCUUAUUAAGUCAGGGGUGAAAGACGGUGGCUCAACCAUCGCAGUGCCUUUGAUACUGAUGAGCUUGAAUGAACUAGAGGUAGGCGGAAUGUGACAAGUAGCGGUGAAAUGCAUAGAUAUGUCACAGAACACCGAUUGCGAAGGCAGCUUACUAUGGUUUUAUUGACGCUGAGGCACGAAAGCGUGGGGAUCAAACAGGAUUAGA
rnacentral:rRNA from 1 species